UACGUAGGGUGCAAGCGUUGUCCGGAAUCAUUGGGCGUAAAGCGCGCAUAGGCGGCCCGAUAAGUCCGCUGUAAAAGUCAACGGCUCAACUGUUGAAAGCCGGUGGAUACUGUCGGGCUAGAGUACGGAAGAGGCAAGUGGAAUUCCUGGUGUAGCGGUGGAAUGCGCAGAUAUCAGGAGGAACACCUAUAGCGAAGGCAGCUUGCUGGGACGUUACUGACGCUAAGGCGCGAAAGCGUGGGGAGCGAACAGG
rnacentral:rRNA from 1 species